AGUACACAAGAGGCACGUCUUGGUGACUUCCGGCUCAGAGCACAUGCACAGCUUCCUGUUUUGGUCCGAUAGCUUCCCCUGGGCUUUCACAUGCAAAGCUACCCACACAGAGAUGGGUUGCCCAUGCAAAAGAGUGUAGAAUCCAUGCUAUGUAUCUUCAAAUUUUAAAAAAUAAUAACAACAAAAAAGAAGGCAACAAAAGAGUUGGCAAAGAGGAGAACUGUAAAAAUCAGUAAAACAAAGGACAGCAGCUCUUACUCUAUCUUCUUUUUUAUUUGGGGUCAGAUAUUUAUUGGAUUCAGUUCUGGGCUUUUGACCAAAAGAAGAUUUUCAGAAAAAUAAAGAAGAUAAUAGAAGAGACACAUGAAAAUGACUGAAAGCUUGGGAAAUAUGAAUCAAGAUUGUUAGACCUAGCAGAGAGCUGGCUAGAUGACAUUUCAGUAGAUGAUGGAUUCCUUCACAGAGCAUGAUGCUAAUCUAAGACAUAAUAGUCACUCACUCAUCAUUUUAAAUAAUGUUUUAGAACUAAGUGAAUGAAUGGCUGAUUAUUAUACAUCUGCCCUGAACUCAUAAGAAAAAAAUUAAAACUAUAGAGAAAGUCAUCUACAUUUGGUAUGAGGUGACAUAAUUUAUUUAAAAUAUAGAAGAUGCUGCAUUGACUCCUUCUAGAAAAGGUUGGGAGGGGUUAAAAAGUGAGGAAAAUUUGGGGUGCUGAGAAAUAUAAUUACACAAACUCCUAAAUUCUGAGGUUCCUUAAGAAAUGGACACAAAGACCCAAACCAAAACAAAUUUCUAAGCCUGGCAUUGCAAAGAAAAGCAGAGACUACCAGAGAAGACAGAUAGAACUGGUCUAGUUGAUAUUAUUGAAUCCCCUGGAUACAGAUGUGCAUCAAAUAAGCAAGAU